UUGAAUUUGUUUGGAAAAAAAUUGGCGAUCAUAUUUAUUCUAAAGGUUAACUAUGAUUGGCUUUAGAAUUCUUGAAUUUAUUUUGAGAUUAGUGCAAUAUAAGAAUUAAUUUUGGGAAAGGAUAUGAUCCAAAUUUUCUGAUUUUUGUUUCUUGUGAGAAAUAUGCAUGUUGGCCAUAGAGAGGAUUUAAUAAAUUUCACGUCUUAUUGUCAUCACCAAGGGUUGGGUAGAAAUUGUUUAAAAAUGUAUUUGUUCACUUUUUUUUGGUAAAUUAAAUUAUCUAUUAAGUAUAUUGGAACAAAACACAAGCAAACAUACCGUAAAUAAAUUGUUUGUAUCCCAAUAAAAUAAACUGGGUUGUGAUUUUAACUGCUGAAAAUUGAUAUGGCUCAUUAGUGUGUACACACACAUUACACGAUGCAUCGCUGACUCCCACUCUACUAUAAAUUUGGAGGAAGAUUGGUUUUAGGAUAUCACGCUGAAGUUUGGUCAAGGUGGAUGUUUUAUCUUUAAACUUGUUUUUGGAUGAGUAUAAUAUUUGAUAAAUUAAUAACAAGUUGUAUGGCAUUUAUUUUAUACUAAAUUCUAUGUUUUAAGCAUAAAUUUCAUAAGAAAAUUUGAUUAGGAUAUUUUGAGCCAAUCUGUUCCCCAAAACUCAAAAUUAAUAACACUUAAGAACAAGAAAAGGUCACUUGCUAUUUAACUUAAUUGAACAUCAUUAGAAAUAAGUUUUUUUUUUAAAAUAAUUUAUUCUAUUCAUCUUCGGGCAACGCUGAAACUGAAAGUGAACUUAAAAGCCCAUUGAUUUAUUCAUCUCCAUUUUUGUCCAUUUUUGUUUACUGACUCUAAUGAACACUAGCGGUGCUUGCACAAUGGUGCAGGCUGAGACAAUCCAUUUGAACCUCAGCAGCGUAAUACCUGCGAAGGGAGUGUGUUGCUUCCCCUGUCUUCUUUUUUGCAGCAGACACAGAUCUGCUCAUUCGGUUGAGUUUGGUCAUUAUGAGUCAACUGUACCAGUCGGUUGAUAUGGUUCAGCUAUCAAUUCUUGGCCUCAAUGAGGGGCCUCUAGAUGUCUCUGGGGUGGUUGGAGAUGCUAAGGAACCAGAUUUUACUUAGAUCAACUCGUUCUUAUAUUUUCCAAUUGUCUUCGGUCUGUUUCGCGGUUCUGUCAGCUUUGGCCUUGCUGGCUUUGGCUCGGAAAGCUUCACUAAAUUGGAAAAGCAGGCCUCAUAAUCUUCAGUUGUCGGAUCCUCCUUCGUCAUUCUCUUUUCUUCGGGACCGUCAAAUCUUCUCAAGAUCAGUGCUGACCCGUUUUUUAUGUGCAAUAUGAAAGUGCAGUUCACUUUUUAAAGGUUAAAAUAGUGUUUUUUUUAAAGUAUGAGGUGUUAAAUAUGUAAAUACAUGGGAAUUGGGGGGUAUGUAUGUAAAUGCCCCUGUUUUGCAUUUGUUUUAUAAUGAAAUUUAGUUAGAUCAUACAGGCGAGGUAAAUUAACUCCAGGUUAUUGGAGAAAACAAUUAUCUGCAUAAUCUUAUCACUGCCUAACUUAGCAACUUCGUAGAUUUUGUCGGUUAAAAUCGAUGAAGCAACAAAGAGGAAUGUGAUAUUGCCUUGCUAGUGUUGUCAGGGUACCUGUAGGUAUGCAUCUUUUCAACUUUUCAUUGUGUAUAUUCGAUUCCCCUAAAUCUGUCAUCAUAUCUAACCUUUGAUAUAUUUAUGCAAUAAUAUGUUUGAUUUAGCAUAUA